rnacentral:rRNA from 2 species
UACGUAGGUGGCAAGCGUUGUCCGGAUUUAUUGGGCGUAAAGCGCGCGCAGGCGGCUAUGUAAGUCUGAUGUUAAAGCCCGAGGCUCAACCUCGGUUCGCAUUGGAAACUGUGUAGCUUGAGUGCAGAAGAGGAAAGCGGUAUUCCACGUGUAGCGGUGAAAUGCGUAGAGAUGUGGAGGAACACCAGUGGCGAAGGCGGCUUUCUGGUCUGUAACUGACGCUGAGGCGCGAAAGCGUGGGGAGCAAACAGG